rnacentral:rRNA from 1 species
CCUACGGGUGGCAGCAGCUAAGAAUCUUCCGCAAUGGACGAAAGUCUGACGGAGCGACGCCGCGUGAGGGAAGAAGGCCUUUGGGUCGUAAACCUCUGUUGUAUGGGAAGAAGGAAGUGACGGUACCAUACGAGGAAGUCCCGGCUAACUACGUGCCAGCAGCCGCGGUAAUACGUAGGGGACGAGCGUUGUCCGGAAUUACUGGGCGUAAAGGGCGCGCAGGCGGAUAUUUAAGUCAGCUGUAAAAGGCAUGAGCUCAACUCAUGUAUGCGGUUGAAACUGGGUAUCUAGAGUGCUGGAGAGGUAGGCGGAAUUCCCGGUGUAGCGGUGAAAUGCGUAGAUAUCGGGAAGAACACCAGUGGCGAAGGCGGCUUACUGGCCAGCAACUGACGCUGAGGCGCGAAAGCCAGGGGAGCGAACGGGAUUAGAUACCCCUGUAGUC